ensembl:snoRNA SNORA74 Small nucleolar RNA SNORA74
UCCAGCAGUAGUCAGCUGUCCAGAUAGAGCCAUUCCUGUGAUGGUGUUACACUGCUGGAAGAGGUCAGUCCUGUCGUCGUCUUCCAGUGGCUUCUGUCACUCUUCUGGUGGUGCCUGCUGCUGGUGCAAGGCAGAACUGUGCUUCCUUGAGAGGGUGCUGAACGUUCACUCUGGCCACUUAGCUCUAGUCUGGGAGCAGACACA